rnacentral:rRNA from 1 species
GAUGAACGCUGGCGGCGUGCCUAAUACAUGCAAGUCGAGCGAACGGACGAGAAGCUUGCUUUUCUGAUGUUAGCGGCGGACGGGUGAGUAACACGUGGAUAACCUACCUAUAAGACUGGGAUAACUUCGGGAAACCGGAGCUAAUACCGGAUAAUAUUUUGAACCGCAUGGUUCAAAAGUGAAAGACGGUCUUGCUGUCACUUAUAGAUGGAUCCGCGCUGCAUUAGCUAGUUGGUAAGGUAACGGCUUACCAAGGCAACGAUGCAUAGCCGACCUGAGAGGGUGAUCGGCCACCCUGGAACUGAGACACGGUCCAGACUCCUACGGGAGGCAGCAGUAGGGAAUCUUCCGCAAUGGGCGAAAGCCUGACGGAGCAACGCCGCGUGAGUGAUGGAGGUCUUCGGAUCGUAAAACUCUGUUAUUAGGGAAGAACAUAUGUGUAAGUAACUGUGCACAUCUUGACGGUACCUAAUCAGAAAGCCACGGCUAACUACGUG